UGCCGAAGGGUGACGAUGCGACGCCGCGUGAGCGAAGAAGGCCCUAGGGUUGCAAAGCUCUGUCAGGGGUUAAGAAAUGUAGAUAGGUUAAUACCCUGUUUAUUUGACAAAAGCCCCAAAGGAAGCCACGGCUAACUCUGUGCCAGCAGCCGCGGUAAUACAGAGGUGGCAAGCGUUGUUCGGUAUUAUUGGGCGUAAAGAGCACGUAGGUGGUUUUGUAAGUCAGAUGUGAAAGCCUUCUGUUCAAAGGAAGAACGGCAUCUGAAACUGCAAAUCUUGAGUGUAGGAGGGGAGAGUGGAACUUCUGGUGGAGCGGUGAAAUGCGUAGAUAUCAGAAGGAACGUCGGCGGCGAAAGCGACUCUCUGGCCUAUUACUGACACUGAGUGUGCGAAAGUUAGGGGAGCAAACGGGAUUAGAUACCCCGGUAGUCCUAACCGUAAACGAUGGGCACUAAGUAGAGGGGU
rnacentral:rRNA from 1 species